AAUGAGCCAUGCCCAGUUCUGUGUGCUGGGAUGACAAAUGUCACCUGUUUGGCUCCUUGUGAGGCUUCCCAGCUCCUGCUCUGGUGCCAGGCUGGGCUCCAGUAAAACACAGGAGCCCAUCAGCACCUGUCAUGGAAGGGAUCUUGGCUAAGAACUCACAGCCUGGCUGCUGUAUUUCAAGCCAGCUCUUUAUCAGAGGAGACCAAAGUCAUGCCAAGAAAAGAUCUGAGGAGGGAUGUGUAGCUGUAGUUCUAGACUGUGUUUAUCUGGCACAAGGAAGCCUGCACUGACACACUGAGAGGACCAUCUUGUAAUAUUUGUGCAGUAAAUCAAAGCACCUCCCAGUUAAAAGACAUUAAGCCCUUCCCUGUGUGUGUACAGAAUACCAAGCUUCCAGGCUGCUGAAUUAAAGCUGUAAAUUUGACCUGUCAAAGCCAAAAGAUGUUGGACCAGGCAGCAGGUACCUUUAUGACAUUUCCUUAUUACAAGCACUGAGAUGCAAUUGUUCAUGGAGGGCAUUAAAUCAAAUUGUGGACGGGAGCUGUGACAGAGCCCCCCAGGCUCCUGCCUCACCACAGGCACUGCAAAGUACUCACAAUUAACCUGCCUGGCUGGAGAGCUGCAGAGAGGAGAUGCUUUCCUUUUGGAUGGAUUUUGCCAUCCCAAAUGUAACUGUGCACUGUGCCACAGAGCAGUUGCAAUUACCUUAAUGAACUGAAGCCUGUGGAGCAGCUAUUCCAUCAGGCUUUCAGGACAGCAACUGCUGCAUUGCCCCCUUGGCAGUGGUGCUCCACUGAGCUGCAUCCUCCUAAAAUGGCAUCAGGCUUGGAGGAGCAACCAUUUGUCCAGAGACACAGGAGAAAGAAUGGAUUGAUGGAAUUAAUGAUGCUAGAAGGGAACUCCUGUGCAGAGCAGGUUAUUUGGCUGUUGGUUGUCUCUUACACGACCUACAAUAGAUCAGCAGGUGCAGUGACUCUGACAGGAGCUCACCUGUCUGCACUGAGUGAAAAGUUUGGGAUGGCACAUCCCUGGGGACAGCAGAGGGAAACCUGAGCUGCCAGACCCAUUCAGCCAGGCCGUGGCUCCCCAUCAGAGCAGUUUAUUUGGGCUUUGUUGUUAAUUGUUUCACUCAUUGCUUCUUUGUAGUCCAUCAAAUUUAAUUCUGUCCGUGGAUGCAGUAAUUACACAUUCCUGUUUUUAUGAAGGGCUAAUGGACCACCUAAGGCUUUGUGUAAAUUAGUUAAUGUUUCCUUCUGCAAUGCUGCUGCUUGUCCUGUGUUGUGCUGGCAGGUGCAAAAUGUUCCUUGCAAAAGCAUAUGGAGAAUCACUGAAGGACAGCAAAUGCUGAUGGGUUUUCCAAGGACAGGGUUAAAGGAUCAUGUUCUUUAUGAUAUAUAUGAGCACAGGGUUUAUUUUAUAUUUCUUCUGUAGCCUGAAAUGCCUUAAAAUUGCUGCUGAGAAAGCAGAUACCUCAGAGGAAAAAUAUUCUUGUAAGGGACAUGGAGGCAAAAUAAUAAUUUCAGGAGGUGCUUAAGCCAAAUGGGAAUGGUGACAGUGAGCAAACAGCCUGAAAGGAGCAGGGAACAUUGUCUGGUUUGCAUUGAAACACACACUUGUGGAGCAAAGUUUUUAGGCUGGCUGCAUAAAAAUUAAGGAUUCUGUAGGGAAAGAUAAACUGGUGUUGUCAGAUAUUAAUCUGCUAGUCACACUGCAAGAGCAUUGUGGUUCUUUGUAGAUAUCUGGAGCUAAAACCUGGCCUAAUGAGGUCGGUGGCCACAUUUCUGUUGACUCAGUACGUGCAGGAUUUCAUUCUAAUUCUUUAACUGUUUUUAUUUCCUGUAAAUAAUCUUGCCUAGAGCUGAGGAACAUUUUUAAGUGAGGGUUUAUUCCUCAGUGCUUAACUAUAAUACAUUAAUAAAUCAGUAGCCAAACUAAAUAACUACUGGUUUUUUAUUAUAUUACAGCCUUCUCAUUUGUUUCUGGUCUUCCUCUUUCUCAUGUUAUGCUGAAAAUAAGUCCAAAAUGCACAUUUUCUGGCAAUUGUGAGAUGCCCAUAAGAAGGGGAGCAGAUACUCAGUUCUCCACCAAGCAAUCCCUGCUCAGGCAGUGGUGGAGGCAAAAGCACAGCAUUAGUUCAGCUUUGGUUCCCUUCCCUUUCUGCUGAUCCCAUGAAAUUGAAAAAGCAAGAGGAAAAAUAUCAAAAGAUCCCAUCACAUUUUCUCCAGUUUAAAGUACAAACUAUCAUGUUAUGCAAAAGCCUGAGGUAAGCCUCAAAGCUGGAUCUCUUACAUGGCAAUUUCCUUGAAGAGUUGUUGGAUCACAUUUUUGUAAGGGUUUCUUCUACUCAUGAGUAUUUUAUUGCAUCUGUUUAUCCCAGUAACCUGGAAUUCAUUUAUCUGACAAAGAUAUUUCCAUGAGUGAGCUUCCAAACACACAGAGGAAAAAUAUGACACAUCUGCUUUUAGUUUGUCCUUUCUGUGGCUAAUUUAAAAAUGAUCACCAAGGGAAAUACGUGUCAGGCACAGAGGAUUCACCUCAUCACUAGCAAACUUCCAACUCAGAAUAGAAAAUAAAAUCUGAAAUAAAGAUUUCAAAUGCCACACUGCAGACUUCUAGAUGGCAACAGCUGUGCCAAACCAUGGAAUUAAUAUGGCUGUGAUGGAGUGGAGGAAGGAUUGCAAUCAGUGGGCAGCUUCUUGGGGACUGAAAAACAGGCAGGGAUUUAGAUCAGCUGGUGAAAAAUCCUUUAAAUCUGCCAGCUUGUUCCCAAGUAUCUUGCAGAGUGAUCAGAUAGAGCAGCUGAGGCCUCGUGUCCUCCCCUGAACAGGGUAACUGAGCAAGCAGCAGCAAUGUCUUCAUUUGGGAGCUGAAUGCAUUCAGAGUCUCUGAAAUGGAUGUGGGGCCUCCUCCUGCCUUUGUCAGACCAAACCCUACUGGAACUGGGACAGAACAAGUGCUCAGACAUGGAGUGUUAUUUCUUAGAGGGAAAAUGAGUUCAGUGAAUGGGAACUUUUGGGCCUUGAUGGCUGAUGUGUGCACUUAGGGUUCAUCAUUUGCCCUGCCUAGAUGCACAUCACUUCUGCCAGAACAAAUGAGCAUUUUCCUGAUUAAUCAGGAGCCCCCAGGGAGCUGCUC